UACUUGAAGAAAGGAAUGAAGACAAAAAGAAGAGAAACUCGAAUUCGGGACCUCUUCUCCCCCCUCCGGAAGAGAAGUGGAAGUCUUAACAUUCUUUUAACUCCCCCCCCCUCCAUAACCCUCCCUCUAUUCUUCUAUCUCCCUCUCACCUCCCCUUAACUCUUUCCCCCCCUCUACCUAUCCUACUCACAUUUGCCCCCCUCCUUCUCACUUUCCAAUACUUCACUCCUAUUACCCCUCUCCCGACCUUUCUUUUAAAUAUAUUUAUAAUAAAGAAUUUCAAUAAAAAUUAUUUUUAAAAAAUUAUAGCCAAAGUAUGGAAUCAUUAGCUACCUUGAGUUCCCACAGGGAGAAAGGCAGGGUAUAAAUAAAGUAAAUAAUAAUAAUAAUAAUAAUAAUAAUAAUAAUAGUAAUAAUAAUAAUAAUAAUACAGUAAUAAUAACUGUAAUAGUAAUCGUAGUAGAGGUUACUAUUUCAGUAAAUAAAUGUCCCAUGGACACUAAUCUCUCUUUCCUUUCCUCUUACUUCUUACAUCUUGUUUCAGUGUCCCCCAAAGUUCUCCCUAGAUGUGAUAUAUCAGUUGUGCUUUGAUCCUGGAAGGCCUUUAAGGCAGUGGUUUUCAACCUGUGGGUCCCUAGGUGUUUUGGCCAACAACUCUCAGAAAUCCCAGUCAGUUUACCAGCUGUUAGGAUUUCUGGGAGUUGAAGGCCAAAACAUCUGGGGACCCACAGGUUGAGAACCACUGCUCUAAAGAAAUCUAGAACAAGUGCACCAUGGGUUGGCUUAGCAUGCAUGUGUAUGCACACACCUUUUUUGUUAAGUGAAGGUCAUCAGUUUAACAAAAUAAAAUUGUUUAAAAUAGGCAAGUCCAUUACAAAUGUACAGCCACAAAAUACCAAAUACAAAUGCAAUUACAAAUAACAAAUUUUUUAGCCAGCAUCAGGUGAAUAUACAAUCUGGUAAUUCCUCCAUGUUUUGAUGAUGCUGAAGAAUUUGAAUAAUCUAUCAUAUGGAGACUGUUGACUAAACCACCUCUAGAACACUCGCCAAAUUAAAUAUGGAGCUAUAAAAUAUGGUUUAUAAUAAGAACAUGAGUACAGUGGAGUCUCACUUAUCCAAACCUCGCUUAUCCAAGUUUCUGGAUUAUCCAAGCCAUUUUUGUAGUGAAUGUUUUCAAUAUAUUGUGCUAUGUCGGUGCUAAAUUCGUAAAUACAGUAAUUACAACAUAACAUUAUUGAACAGCUUUUUUCUGCCAAAUUUGUUGUAAAACAUGAUGUUUUGAUGCUUAAUUUGUAAAAUCAUAACCUAAUUUGAUGUUUAAUAGGCUUUUCCUUAAUUCCUCCUUAUUAUCCAAGCUUCUGCCGGCCCGUUUAGCUUAGAUAAGUGAGACUCUACUGCAUAUCAUUUUAUCUCCAAUCACUUUUGUCGACUAGCCACUGUGCUACAAAUUUUUGUCUUGGGCAAUUGUAUAGACAACAUUGAAGCAGGGUUGUUGUAUGUCUUUCGGGCUGUGUGGCCAUGUUCCAGAAGUAUUCUCUCCUGACGUUUCGCCCACAUCUAUGGCAGGCAUCCUCAGAGGUUGUGAGGUAUGGAUAAACUAAGUAAGGAAAGGAAAGAAUAUAUAUCUGUGUAUAGUCCAAGGUGUGGCAAGAGUCCUUUGUCACUGGGAGCCAGCAUUAAUGUUUCAGUUAAUCGCCCUAAUUAGCAUUGGAAAUAUUUUGUCCCUUGCCUGGGGGCAUCCUUUGUUCAGUCAAGCCUUCAUUGUGUUGGUUCCCAUCUACUGUUUUGAUUUUGGAGUUUUGUAAUACUGGUAGCCAGAUUUUGUUCAUUUUCAUGGUUUCUUCCUUUCUGUUGAAGUUGUCCACAUGCUUGUGGAUUUCAAUGGCUUCUCUGUGUAGUCUGACAUGAUAGUUGUUGGAAUGGUCCAGCAUUUUUGUGUUCUCAAAUAGUAUCCUGUGUCCAGGCUGGUUCAUCAAAUGCUCUGCUAUGGCUGAUUUCUCUGGUUGAAUUAGUCUGCAGUGCCUUUCAUGUUCUUUGACUCUUGUUUGGGCGCUGCGUUUGGUGGUCCCUAUGUAGACUUGUCCACAGCUGCAUGGUAUCCGGUAGACUCCUGCAGAAGAGAGAGGAUCCCUCUUGUCCUUCGCUGACCGUAGCAUUUGUUGGAUUUUCUUUGUGGGUCUGUAGAUAGUUUGUAGGUUGUGCUUCUUCAUCAAUUUGCCUAUGCCAUCAGUAGUUCCCUUGAUGUAUGGUAAGAACACCUUUCCUCUGGGUGGAUCUUUGUCUUGACUCUCAUGGCUUGUUCUUGGCCUUGCAGCUCUUCUGAUGUCUGUGGUGGAGUAUCCAUUGGCCUGUAGAGCCCAGUUUAGGUGGUUGAGUUCACCUUGGAGGAGGUGAGGUUCGCAGAUUCUUUGUGCACGGUCUGUCAGGGCUUUGAUUGUGCUCCUUUUUUGACUUGGGUGAUGGUUGGAGUUUUUAUGAAGGUAUCUAUCUGUGUGUGUAGGUUUUCUGUAAACUGUGUGGCCCAAUUGUUGAUUGGGCUUGCGGAUGACCAGAACAUCUAGAAAUGGCAGUUUUCCUUCCUUUUCUUUUUCCAUGGUGAAUUGGAUGUUUGGGUGGAUGCUGUUAAGAUGGUCCAGGAACUUGCUGAGUUCUUCCUCUCCAUGGCUCCAAAUUGUGAAGGUGUCAUCUACGUAUCUGAACCAAACAGUUCAGAUACUCCACCACAGAAUUAUAUUAAUUCUUGCCAAGAUAAUUACGCUACUCUUCUGAAGUUUGGAUGUGUAAGUCAGAUCAUAUCUGAUGGAAGAGUCUUCACUAAAUGAGUGUACAUAUUCUUUAUGUAUUAAUUUUAGCCAACAGUUAAUGGAAGGUUAAAUCCAUAAUGCAUUGUUUUACAAGAUAAAUGGCUUUUUAAAAUCUUGCAGUAAUAAAAUUUCAAGUGCAAAUCCAAUGUUUGCAGUUAAAUUAUGACCUGAUUUGACCCAUCCACUAACUGGAAUGUUAGCUUAGAAAGUUUCUUGCCUAAUCCAAUAUAUCACCAUCUUAUUAAUUAGGUUAACUUUGGUAUAUUGGUUUCAGCACACAAUAAAGAGAAUGGCAUGCUAUUUGGUUACCGAAAUACAGUUUUGUUCUUAAAUAUUAGUUUUGCAGAUUGAUAUUGGCCUAGAGUUGAUCUUCAUAAAGCAGCUGGCCCACUACUUUUGCAUGAUAAACUUUACUAAUUGGGCUCCUUUGCCAUUGUGAAAUUUAAACAUACCUUUAAUUGUAUGACCUACAUUUUCUCUAGCCAACUCAACAUGGAUUUGAAAUGACCCUGAACUGGAAAAGGUAAUCUCCAGACAUUUAAAUUGUUUAACCUAGUCAAUUUGAUGGCCACUAAUAGUCCAUCUGUCAUGUUUUGAUCUUUCCCAAAAGUCACAAUAUGUGCUUUAUCAUAGUUGAUAAUUAAUAAUCCAGAUUUACAAUAAUUUACAAUAAUUACAAAAGUUUCUCCUUCUCCUUCUUAAAUCCACUUAUAAGAAAAACAUGAUAGAUGAUCACAGAACAGAAACCAUUCUUUCUCCCAAAAACAGUGAACUAUAAACAACAUUGUGAAAGUGUGCUACAGACAUUGACCUACAAGUUAAAUAAUAGUGGGACCACGACAUAACCUUGCUGUAUCUACCUUGCAGAUGGCCUAGGCUGGGCUUAUUCAUUCAAAUUCUACUUUUGCUGCUGAUAAUCACUGUAAACUUUCUUUGCAAAUUUUUGAUCCCCCCCCCUACUUUGGCCAACCUUUCUUUCUUCAUUAUCUCAGUGUGUAGCUACAGUUCCCUUCUUUGUCAUCAUACUUUCUUUUGCCUGCUGACAUGGCUGUUGUUGUGCACUUUUUGACAUAUGCCAACAUUAAGGGGAACCUAUAAUAGGUUUUCUUCUGCAAGAUUUAUUCACAGAAGGUUUGCCAUUGGCUUCCUCUGACACUGAGUGUGACUUAGCCAAGGUCAUCCAGUGGCUUUCUAUGGCUGCACAAUAAUUUGGACCAUGGUCUCUCAAGGUCCAACACAUAAACCAUUGAAUCAGGCUUCCACCCAUUUACUUUCCAACAGCUUCCAUGAUUGCUCUUCAUAUCUUCUCAUCUAACAGAUGUCCAGAAGAGGAUUGAAGAUGUCUUUUCCACUAUGCUAUCAAUAAAGCAGAAAGAAAAGGAUGCUUUUCUGACUAGAAGGCUAAGCGAAAGAAGAUAGAUGCUUUUGAACUGUGGUGUUGGAGGAAAAUUCAGAGAGUGCCUUGGACCGCAAGAAGAUCCAACCAGUCCAUCCUCCAGGAAAUAAUUUCUGGCUGCUCACUGGAGGGAAGGAUAUUAGAGGCAAAGAUGAAGUACUUUGGUCGCAUAAUGGGAAGACAGGAAAGCUUGGAAAAGAGAAUGAUGCUGGGGAAAAUAGAAGGAAAAAGGAAGAGGGGCCGGCCAAGGGCAAGAUGGAUGGAUGGUAUCCUUAAAGUGACUGGUUUGACCUUGAAGGAGCUGGGGGUGGCCACGGCCAACAGGGAGCUCUGGCGUGGGCUGGUCCAUGAGGUCACAAAAAGUUGGAAGCAACUGAAUGAAUAAAUAACAACAAGAUGCCUUUC